UUCAGCACAAGUCCCACUUCAGCAGUACAUUUCAUGAAGGAUACAUUGAACAGGCUGUUCCACCAUCACUGCUUCAAUUUGUAUGCAUGAUCGAACAUGAUGCAGAUAUCAAAUCCCAACUCCAGCAGGAUGCAUUGAAGUAUGACUUUGCUAUGUCACAGCUCUUACAGUACAACUGCUUUGCCAACUACCUGUACAAGGAACACAAAUCCACAGACACUACAAGGACCAUGAGACACCUUUUGCGAUCUACGUCGACAUGUCUGUGUUUGCUAAGACAAGAAAGAGGCAGCUCAUCGACAUGCUGCAUGAAAAUGGGGUCAGCAUUUCAUAUGACAGUUCUACAAUUAUCAGCCCAGCUAGGAGAAGCAGUUGUAUGCCAGUACAUGUAAGAUGGAGUGGUGUCCACCUAUCUUGAAGAAGCAGUUGUUCACGACUUCAGCAGUGGACAACAUUGACCACAACCCUACUGUAUCUACGGCCAAAACGUCCUUUCAUGGGGCCAGUGUGCCCAUCUUCCAACAUCCAAGCCCUGACCAGGCUGGUGAGGAGCAUGAGCCACUCUGAUGGAAAGCAGAUAGAUGGUCAAGAAAGUUCCUGAGCUUCCAGAGGCACAAAGAUGUACUGUCAGAAGAAAUCACAGGAACCAGUGCUAUUAGUUCCAAGACAGAAUUUCCAAAAUUUGAUGGCAAUAUGUAAUGGGUUACAUGGAGAAUUAAAAAUCGCCAUGGAGGACUGGGCGUCGGCUCUGAGGAUGGUACUGGAACAGAUUGAUAUUGAAGAUGUACAACAUAUUUCCUUUUGACAAGAAAUAUCAUGAGUGGUCUGCAUAAAAGGUUGUGUGCCACUGUUAAAACAUCCUGACUUGGAUUGUGUGGAGUCAUUUUGGUUACUGUGGUGUAGAAGGUUGUUGCAAAAAAAAAAGUGAAUCUAUACAAUUACUUGGACUAUUUGCCAGUUAUUGAAAAGUGCAAUGCCAACAUGUUUAUGCAGAAUUUGGAAGGAUUCUAAUUAACUAGUGUAAAAAGUCCCAUAGCCAUUUGGGUCCUCUGCACCUUGAUGUAGAGAAGUUCCUUUAGAGCUAAACCAAAUACUGUAGUGUAUUUAGCUUUUUUCACAACUAGAAUUAUAAUUAAUUGUUGUCCUCUUCCAUUUUCUUUACUAGUUCCAUGAAUUUAUUUUAACAUGACAGCUAAGGGGUUGUUAUUGUAAUUAAUUAUAGCUGGCAUUUGGUUUCUCAAGAGUGCAUAUCCGAGGAAUUCUCUUGCUUGGAACACUGUAAAGCAGUCGGACUUGAGAAUAAAUAGAAAUGCUGUACUAUAAUAAAAGAUUAAUGUAA